UGGGGAAUCUUGCGCAAUGGGCGAAAGCCUGACGCAGCGACGCCGCGUGCGGGAAGAAGGCCUUAGGGUUGUAAACCGCUUUCAGGAGGGACGAAGCCACUCGGGUGAAUAGCCCAGAGGGUGACGGUACCUCCAGAAGAAGCCCCGGCUAACUACGUGCCAGCAGCCGCGGUAAUACGUAGGGGGCAAGCGUUGUCCGGAUUCAUUGGGCGUAAAAAGCGUGUAGGCGGCCAGGUAGGUCGGUUGUGAAAACUGGAGGCUCAACCUUCAGAGGUCGACCGAAACCAUCUGGCUAGAGUCCGGGAGAGGAGAGUGGAAUUCCUGGUGUAGCGGUGAAAUGCGCAGAUAUCAGGAAGAACACCCGUGGCGAAAGCGGCUCUCUGGAACGGUACUGACGCUGAGACGCGAAAGCGUGGGGAGCGGAACAGGGAUUAGAUACCCUGGUAGUCCACGCCGUAAACGAUGGGGCGCUAGGUGUGGGGAGGUGUCGACUCCUUCCGUGCCGCAGCUAAC
rnacentral:rRNA from 1 species